rnacentral:rRNA from 1 species
AAAAGAAACUAAAUAGGAUUUCCAUAGUAACUGCGAGUGAACUGGAAUUAGCCCAUCACGAAAUCUAUAUUAUAUUAAUAAUAUCGAAAUGUCGUGUAUAGGUUUUAUUAUUAUUAAUAAAUUAUUAUUAAAUAAUUGUAUUUAAAUAUACAGCCACAGAAGGUGCCAGCCCUGUUAUUUAAUAAUAUUUAUUAAAUUUAUAAAACUUUAGAGUCGUGUUGCUUGGAAGUGCAGCACAAAGUUGGUGAUAAACAUCAUCUAAGGCUAAAUAUUCCUAUGAAUCCGAUAGCGAACAAGUACUGUGAAGGAAAAUUGCAAAGUACUCCGGAGAGAGAGUUAAAGAGGACGUGAAACCGAUACGAUGGAAGCAUACAGAGCCAGUUGCACUAUUAUUAAUAUUUUUUAUUAAUAAUUUUAAGCAUGGGUAUAUUGAUUAUUAAUUAGUUAUUUAUUAAAGAGUGAUAAAAUUUUUUAAAUUUUGUUAACUUUAAUAAAAUAAUUAUAUUUAUAAUUAAUAUUUAUUAUUAUUAAUGUAUUAAUAAUAUUUUAAUUAUUAAUAUAAUAUAAGACACAUGUGUUAAAUAUUAUUUAUUGGUAAUUAUUAUAUUAUUAUAAAUUAAUAAACCUAUGUAAUCCUGGUAUGCUGUAUGUCCCGUCUUGAAACACGGACCAAGGAGUGUAUUGCUAUGGCAAGUCAUUGAUAUUAUUAAUAUCAAAGGCAUAAUGAAAAUAA